GCCCCUGCCAAGGGGUGCUGGCCACGCAGGAGGCUUAACCUGGCCGGCGCGGGAAUGGGGUGCAGAGAGCAAAGAAAUGUGGCUUUGAUCUUAUGGAUGCCUUACUUUUACAUUAUUUGUACAGUUCUUGCAGUGAGCUUUCCGGACCACUGUCUUGUAUGUUUCCUAAGAAAAGCAAAAAGGGAAGAGAUUGAAGAGAAAGUAGAUUUUCAACUACAAACUUUCAUCCAUUUGCUUUCAGCUUAAGCAAAUGUGCGCAAAGUUGUCAUGGAUUUUUGCAGUCAAUAAAAACCAAGCAAGAAGACUGAAUCCCAAGUCAUCUGGUAUAAAUGGAAGCAGUUUCUGUGAUAGUUCCACGCGGUCAGAAGGGUCAUCCUGGCUUAGGAGAGGGGCAGAAGAGGAAAUGCAUGCGUGGAAACAGGAGUGGGCAGGGAGGAUGUGACACUGUCCUCCUCACCAGGCCACGUUCCUGGCACCAACCAUAGUGUUUGGGCAGAUAAGAAAAGGAACAAUUUGCUGAAACUCCCUCUGCUUGUAACACAACUGACUGAAAUCAGCCGGAAUCAAUAUGGCCAAAUGCAGUUUGCGCACAGCAAGCUUGCUGUUGUCACAGCCUGAAUUUCUACUGCAUGUUUCAUACGAACUCCCUCCAAAUUUGCACAUGGGACCUACCAGGAAGCAUGAAGAGAGAGCCAUGCAUGCCUGAAGACUUCCCAGAUGUUCCCUUUGCUUCCACCAAUCACCUGCUAAUCCCAGGAUCCAACCCUAAACCUUUUGUAAUAAAAUUACUGCCCUAAAGCCAGUACAAGAAGACAGAUUUGAACUGGACUUCUGUUUCCUCAGAAGUUAACUUGCAAUGUGAAGCUUUCCUUUUCUCAAAAACUUGGUGUCAUAGUGUUGGCUUCUAGUGCAGUGAGCCCCUUUUGCUGGAUAACACUACCUGGUAAUUUGACAUACUAGGUGGUUAGUAACUACUGACUGUCUCCAGGUUACAACACAGUUAUUACCUACUUGGGUGAAAAGAGAAGACAGGAAAUACAUUUUGGAGUUGGCUGGCAACCUGUUUACAAAGCGAUUUACAACAGUUCUUUAUUCUUAAGGGGCUAUUCUAAUAUAAGACCUCAGAGAAACAGUGCAGUGUGACAAAGGAGGAAUUUAUCAAAUGAGACAGAAAAAGCAUCAAGGCAAGCUGUGAAAUGGUGCGGUAGGAACCAAAUAGAGAGCCAAAGGAUCUCUCUGUCACUGCAGGCCCUUAGGGAGACGGGGUCUCACUGUAUCAGCUCAGCUGGAGUACAGUGGUGAGAUCAGAGCUCACCGCAGCCUCCGAACUCCUGGUCUCAAGCAAUCCGGACCUCAGCCUCCCAAGUCGUGGGGACUACAGAGAAUGUACAAGUCCUCUGCCACAACGUGAGGGAGAGAAGUCUGCAGACGGCUGACUGGUGACGACUGAACAAGACGGAAAGUUGCCAACAGCAGAGACAACUGUGAGACACAGUGAAAUGAAGUGACUGCUCCACUGCUGGGCAACAGGCGACCCGGAUGCCAGGCUCCCUGGCAGAAGAAAUAGAAAGUCAAAAGCAAAGACGGAUGUCUUCCUCCCUACCACAUCACCUCCACUUUUCACCAUCGCCUGUGUGAUACACCCACCCCGCAAUGCCUUCCUCAGCCUUUUACUUCUGUUUCCAAUUGACCAAAUGUCUAUGAAGCUGCAGCAAGGUUUCUUCUUUUUUGGAGCAGGGAAUGGGGAGUGAUUGGGCUUGGCUGUGACAGAUUGUUUUGGCAGGCUCAGUGGGCAGAGGCCGUGAACACCAUCCCAGUAAGUAAAGGGACUGUAGGAGCGUAGAGUUCCCUUAGUUCCUGGCUGGAAACCCAGCUCCCCGCCUCCUCCCAUCCAUCAAGCUGGGAGCCAUGACAGUGUCAGAGCCUGAGCUCCUGCCCAGACUUCUGGGUGAAGUGGUCCCAUGGAGCAAAGCUUGGUUUGGAAGAUUUGGAGAAUGGGAAAGAAUGUUCUCUUACCACAGCCUCUUCCCCACCGCGGCCCCUUCCUAAGCUGCCAUUGAAAUCUAUUUUUGCCAGAGCAAAAAAUGGGGGAAGUGGACAGCUUCUGCCAACAGUGAGUUUGUUCCAAGCCUACCCCACAGUCAUGGGUUCCUCAGAGUGUCACUGAGUCACAGGACUCAUGGAACUCUGCCCAUGUCAUGAAGAUAAACCACUGUGAUCACUUUUAAAAUCUUUCUCAUCAUGUCCUUGGGAAGAUAAAGGGGUGGAACUGAACAGAAAGGGGCAAAGGUGGGACUUUUUUUCACUAACCUUAACCUUCAUGCCAAGAACAGAGAUCUCUGUUUGAAAGCAUGUCUCCGAUGACCAUUUAUUUGCUCUGCCUGGUAAACCUUCGUGUAAUGCGUGGCUUUAAGCAUUAGUCAUUCCCUGCUGGGAAGGAGGUUAGAACUCCAGAAACAAGGCUAUUGCAGAACUGGACUGUGUGGGUCACUAAACCACAGGGGAAAGGGUGGAGAAGCAGCUGGUGUCCCGCUUAAAGGUCACAAAGCAUUAUUUCUACUUUAAUACCCAGAGUUCAAGUGGAAAUAAACUCAGAAGGUUAAGAUCUAAGUGAAAAUUAACUGAAGGCAACUGUGCCAUUUGGACUCUGAGAUGUGCUUGCCUGGGAAAGUGCAAAACACGCUGGCUAUCUUUCCAUGAGCACAGCUGAACAGGAAUAGGCAUUAAUAAGGAUAAACAUAAAGAAAAAAUUGCUAAUUAUUGGCAGAGAAUGCCAAGAAAAGUUGGUGGAAUUCUCUUCUUUGGGGACCCUGGGAAAAGAACAGUAACAGUUAGGUACAGAGGCGCCUGGAAGCAAAGAAACUUCUUUCCCUGGGACAGUGGCUCUGUGCUGUGUGUAACCCUGAGUUCUUUAGGUCACUAUAGUCUGGGUGAGUGACUCCAGGGUUAUAGGAUGCAAUAGCCAUGCUAAUGAAGACUCAUUGGUUCUGAGCCCCCUUCCAGAAGUACUGUGGGUACUUUCAGCCUCUUUUCUCCCUGCAGAGUCUCAAAGAGCUCAUGUUCUGUCCUUGGUGAUUAAUACAGAUUUCUUGGCUCUUCCCAGCCUGCUAGUCAGUGAACUUAAUUUGCCACUUCUGUUGCUAAUCAUAACUCUUGCCUCAGCAUCAAGCUGAUCAUUCUUGCAGCUGUAGAUAUUGGCCCUCCUGCACUGGAUGCUCGCAGAGAGGGGAAGGCGGUCUCCUAAUCACCAUUUCU